CGAUAUCGUUUCUCUGUGACUUUAUCGUUAUAGCUGUGGUGUGGACUCUGCUAUUCUUUAAUACUGAGAAAGAUUUUUAGAACUAUAUCUUUAUCGUUAUCUUUGUAGUUAUUAUCGUGCUUAGUGUGAAUGGGCCUUAAGAGUAAUUUAGCUGGUAAAGUGGAUUUAUGUAUUGUAGAGUUAACGAAAGUUAUCGUGAGCAUUGUAAUGUUUGUCAGUAGACCAGGAAGAUUUUAAAACGAGCGGUUCAUUCAUAAAUCCGUGAGAUCACUGUGGAAAUACAACCGGAAGACAAGACAACAAAUGCAGCGCUAAAAAGGGGCGAGGCUACAUAAUACGACACCGUUAGUACUGGCUACUAAAUCUACAGCAGAUGGGCCGGAGCGCCUCCAGAGACGGAGCUGUUACCAUGGCAUCACGGCUCACCUGUACCUGCACCAGUAUCCCAGCAGAAGAGAUCAGGUGUCCAUGAAGUCCUACCGUUCCCGUUCACAGCCCACUGACUUCACUGAACGCUGUGAGGCCAAAUUGAAACAGAAUUGAUCCAGAGACCCAAGGAGUAUCGACAGGCACUGAUGUUGAUGCUGCAGGCGAUGUUGUUCCUGUUCCUCUGAUGACCACCAGAUGGUGUAAUUCCCUCAUCUGCUGAUCUGAAGGAGAUCCCAGGAGAGUCGAUCCCAGUCACUGCUGAUCUGAUCUCAGGCAUCUGCACGUACAAACAUAUCCUGUGAUCUGCUUCUUCCGUUCUGGAAAGAUGUCCAGUGGAGAGACUGAAUUGGGCUGCGCUUCAGAUUCCUCAGGGAUGAGGACGCUCUGUUCAUUUGUCUCUGUGUUUUAUGAUGAAAAUAUCCAGCUGCUCUCCCUCGCGCGCUCUUGUUUGGUUUCUCCGGAUUGAUUUUCCCAGCAGUUGGCGUCGUGAUCUGCUGGCGAUGAAGCCUCGUCCUCCUCCUCUCUAUCUCUCCUGGUUUCUCCAGGCCACAGGGAGGAGGUCGCAGUCGCUGCAGGUUUGCGGGAGAAUGAAAGGCAGGCUGGGAAUCAUGUUACCGAGGCCGUUUGUCCUGACGUCUCUGGCGUUUCUCCUGUAGAGACUGAAUUAAUGUUUCAUCAGUGCAUCACUGGGAAUCACGCUCCUCUCAAGCACUCCAGAUUAGCAGCGUUUCAGACGCAUUACAACAUGAGUUGAAGAGAAUAGUUUCCUAUUGCAGAGUUAUUGUGAUAAAUUAUGACAAGGUCUAAAUAGAUUUUGUCAGAUAUGAGGUAUAGUGAUGUAUAGUACUCUAUACUGUCGAUGGAUAUUGAUGCACUCUAAAAAAUGCUGGGUAAAUAUUGGACAGAACACAUGCUGGGUUGUUUUCAACCAACAGUUGGGUUAAAUGGGCAGUAACCCAACCGCUGGGUUCAUACAUAUUUUACCCAGCACUGGGUUGUAUUUAACCCAGCAUUUUUUAGAGUGUGCAUAGCGCUAUACAGUAUAGUGUGGAAUAGUUAUUUACACCAAAACACACAGCUGAGCAUUUUUUUGUUUGUUUUAGUUUUUAAUCCAAUUUGUUGUUAUGAUUGUUUUUAAAUAAAUA